rnacentral:rRNA from 1 species
UACGGAGGGUGCGAGCGUUGUCCGGAAUCAUUGGGCGUAAAGGGCGCGUAGGUGGCCCGCUCAGCGUGCGGUGAAAGCUCGGGGCUCAACCCCGAGUCGGCCGUGCGAACUGGUGGGCUGGAGCACUGUAGAGGCAGGCGGAAUUCCGGGUGUAGCGGUGGAAUGCGUAGAGAUCCGGAAGAACGACCGGUGGCGAAGGCGGCCUGCUGGGCAGUUGCUGGACACUGAGGCGCGACAGCGUGGGGAGCAAACAGGG